GCCUUAGUAGCGCAGCUAACGCGCGAAGUUGACCGCGCUGGGGGAGUACGGUCGCAAGAUUAAAACUCAAAGGAAUUGACGGGGACCCGCACAAGCGGUGGAUGAUGUGGAUUAAUUCUAUGCAACGCGAAAAACCUUACCUACCCUUGACAUGUCUGGAAAGCCGAAGAGAUUUGGCCGUGCUCGCAAGAGAACCGGAACACAGGUGCUGCAUGGCUGUCGUCAGCUCGUGUCGUGAGAUGUUGGGUUAAGUCCCGCAACGAGCGCAACCCUUGUCAUUAGUUGCUACGCAAGAGCACUCUAAUGAGACUGCCGGUGACAAACCGGAGGAAGGUGGGGAUGACGUCAAGUCCUCAUGGCCCUUAUGGGUAGGGCUUCACACGUCAUACAAUGGUCGGGACAGAGGGUCGCCAACCCGCGAGGGGGAGCCAAUCUCAGAAACCCGAUCGUAGUCCGGAUCGCAGUCUGCAACUCGACUGCGUGAAGUCGGAAUCGCUAGUAAUCGCGGAUCAGAAUGUCGCGGUGAAUACGUUCCCGGGUCUUGUACACACCGCCCGUCACACCAUGGGAGUGGGUUUCACCAGAAGUAGGUAGCCUAACCGCAAGGAGGGCGCUUACCACGGUGGGAUUCAUGACUGGGGUGAAGUCGUAACAAGGUAACCGU
rnacentral:rRNA from 1 species